rnacentral:rRNA from 1 species
GACAGAGGGUGCAACCGUUGCUCGGAAUUACUGGGCGUAAAGGGCGUGUAGGCGGGAAGGUAAGUCGGGCGUGAAAUCCCCAAGCUCAACUUGGGAACUGCACUCGAAACUACCUUUCUUGAGUGUCGGAGAGGAAAGCGGAAUUCCUGGUGUAGAGGUGAAAUUCGUAGAUAUCAGGAGGAACACCAGUGGCGAAGGCGGCUUUCUGGACGAUGACUGACGCUGAGACGCGAAAGCGUGGGGAGCAAACAGG